rnacentral:rRNA from 1 species
UUGAUGGAGAGUUUGAUUCUGGCUCAGAAUGAACGCUGGCGGCGUGCUUAACACAUGCAAGUCGAACGGACGAGUGGAGCUUGCUCCAUGAGUUAGUGGCGAACGGGUGAGUAACACGUGAGCAACCUGCCCCGAAGAUUGGGAUAACACCGGGAAACCGGUGCUAAUACCGAAUACCUUCC